GACGAACGCUGGCGGCGUGCCUAAUACAUGCAAGUCGAACGCAUUUUCUUUCACCGUAGCUUGCUACACCGAAAGAAAAUGAGUGGCGAACGGGUGAGUAACACGUGGGUAACCUGCCCAUCAGCGGGGGAUAACACUUGGAAACAGGUGCUAAUACCGCAUCAUUCCAUUUACUGCAUGGUAGAUGGAUGAAAGGCGCUUUUGCGUCACUGAUGGAUGGACCCGCGGUGCAUUAGCUAGUUGGUGGGGUAACGGCCUACCAAGGCUGCGAUGCAUAGCCGACCUGAGAGGGUGAUCGGCCACACUGGGACUGAGACACGGCCCAGACUCCUACGGGAGGCAGCAGUAGGGAAUCUUCGGCAAUGGACGCAAGUCUGACCGAGCAACGCCGCGUGAGUGAAGAAGGUUUUCGGAUCGUAAAACUCUGUUGUUAGAAAAGAACAAGGAUGAGAGUGGAAAGUUCAUCCCUUGACGGUAUCUAACCAGAAAGCCACGGCUAACUACGUG
rnacentral:rRNA from 1 species